rnacentral:rRNA from 1 species
GACGAACGCUGGCGGCGUGCCUAAUACAUGCAAGUAGAACGCUGAAGGAGGAGCUUGCUUCUCCGGAUGAGUUGCGAACGGGUGAGUAACGCGUAGGUAACCUGCCUGGUAGCGGGGGAUAACUAUUGGAAACGAUAGCUAAUACCGCAUAAGAGUAGAUGUUGCAUGACAUUUGCUUAAAAGGUGCAAUUGCAUCACUACCAGAUGGACCUGCGUUGUAUUAGCUAGUUGGUGGGGUAACGGCUUACCAAGGCGACGAUACAUAGCCGACCUGAGAGGGUGAUCGGCCACACCGGGACUGAGACACGGCCCAGACUCCUACGGGAGGCAGCAGUAGGGAAUCUUCGGCAAUGGACGGAAGUCUGACCGAGCAACGCCGCGUGAGUGAAGAAGGUUUUCGGAUCGUAAAGCUCUGUUGUAAGAGAAGAACGAGUGUGAGAGUGGAAAGUUCACACUGUGACGGUAUCUUACCAGAAAGGGACGGCUAACUACGUG